AUCAGGCUGGUGUUGUAUUGUCUCUGCCUUCUGAGUGCUGGAAUUACAGGUGUGUGUUACCACACCCUGCUGGAGGAGCAUUUACAAGGGAUGGAGUGACAUCGAUACUUGGGGACAACUCUUCCGAACCGGGAACCCACACUAAGGUGGAAGGAAAGAACUAACUCUACAAAGUUGACUUUUGGCCUCUACAUGUUGUGUACACUGAGGACAUGGCCACCUCAAGUCAGGUUCUGUUCCUGAAGGCAUCCAUCAUGCAACAUCCUUCACCCACCGUGUACAAGCAAUUGCAGAAGACCUUAGAUAACAGUGAGAGCCUGGCAGACCUGGGUGGGGUGACCAGACAUCUUCUCGGCCUCCUUCUGUAGCUCCCAACCUUUGAUAUGAAAUUACUGCCCUGAGCUGCUCCUGUAAAUAUCUCUCUACCCAUGCUCAUGUUCCCAGGUUGGAAGCUGUUUGGUGAGGUUUCAUAUCCUCUGAAGCAGGAAGACGGUCAUUCGGGGUUGUCUCUGUGGGACAGAGCUCACCCUUGCCCCUCUCUGUCUCUGUUUCUGUCUACUGCGAUGCAAGCAGCCUCUGCCAUGUGCUCCCAACUGCUGUGUUCUUCCUGGACUGAGACUUAAGAAAACAUGAACUAAAAUAAAUGCACGUUCCCUCA